GGAUGGGUGGCAGAGCGGUUGAAUGCACCGGACUUGAAAUCCGGCAAUCGUGCAAGCGAUUCGUGGGUUCGAAUCCCACCCCAUCCGCCA
rnacentral:tRNA from 1 species